rnacentral:rRNA from 1 species
AACGAACGCUGGCGGCAUGCCUAACACAUGCAAGUCGAACGAGACCUUCGGGUCUAGUGGCGCACGGGUGCGUAACGCGUGGGAACCUGCCUUUAGGUUCGGAAUAACUCUCCGAAAGGGGUGCUAAUACCGAAUAAUGUCUUCGGACCAAAGAUUUAUCGCCUUUAGAUGGGCCCGCGUUGGAUUAGCUAGUUGGUGGGGUAAAGGCCUACCAAGGCGACGAUCCAUAGCUGGUCUUAGAGGAUGANCAGCCACACUGGGACUGAGACACGGCCCAGACUCCUACGGGAGGCAGCAGUGGGGAAUCUUGCGCAAUGGGCGAAAGCCUGACGCAGCCAUGCCGCGUGGACGAUGAAGGUCUUA